GGGCCCGUGGUCUAGCGGUUUAUGACGCCACCCUUACGAUCUUGAUAGGAAAGGUGGAGGUCGGGGGUUCGAAUCCCCUCGGGCCCA
rfam:Candidate divison MSBL1 archaeon SCGC-AAA385D11 AAA385D11_Contig_8_C, whole genome shotgun sequence.